rnacentral:rRNA from 1 species
CCUACGGGUGGCAGCAGUGGGGAAUAUUGCACAAUGGGCGCAAGCCUGAUGCAGCCAUGCCGCGUGUGUGAAGAAGGCCUUCGGGUUGUAAAGCACUUUCAGCGGGGAGGAAGGCGGGGAGGUUAAUAACCUCAUCGAUUGACGUUACCCGCAGAAGAAGCACCGGCUAACUCCAUGCCAGCAGCCGCGGUAAUACGGAGGGUGCAAGCGUUAAUCGGAAUUACUGGGCGUAAAGCGCACGCAGGCGGUCUGUCAAGUCGGAUGUGAAAUCCCCGGGCUCAACCUGGGAACUGCAUUCGAAACUGGCAGGCUAGAGUCUUGUAGAGGGGGGUAGAAUUCCAGGUGUAGCGGUGAAAUGCGUAGAGAUCUGGAGGAAUACCGGUGGCGAAGGCGGCCCUCUGGACAAAGACUGACGCUCAGGUGCGAAAGCGUGGGGAGCAAACAGGAUUAGAUACCCCAGUAGUC